AUUGAUACUAGAAUGCAUAAAAAGAUUUUCAAUGUCUACAAAAUGUGGUUAUAAUAAAGUAAUGAUAAUCUUACAUAAAAUCAUGAAUGUGUAAAAGGAAGAGAAACGACAAUUUAGGCUGACCAAGUGUGUGGGAGUAAUUAGGCUCAAUCUAGAUUCACAAUUUUCUUAUAAGACAAGUUCCCCCAUCUACUCUGUGUUGG